rnacentral:rRNA from 1 species
GCAGCGAGCAAAUUAACGUUCUGGGCACUAUAAUUAACAUGGUUAAAACCUACAUGGCAUGGCGGCAGUUGAAAUAUUCAGGGGAUCUUAUGUCAUAAUUGAUAGCCACCAAGUACAUCAACAAUAAGUUAUAUCUUACAUACCGUCGUCGCCAGAUGAACUAAAAUAGCUCAUCGAAAUAUAAAAUUAGAAAAGGACAGAUCAAGGUGUAGAUUAUCUUAUUGCGGUCACGAGAUACUAUGAUAGUUACCCUCACUCACAGGUUUUAACACCCGGGUGUGUCGGACUUGAAAGUAAUACGUAUUAUAAAUACCACAUGAAUCCUCUUCAUCUGUGCACAA